rnacentral:rRNA from 1 species
AGUGAAUAUUAAACGGCCGCGGUACCCUAACCGUGCAAAGGUAGCAUAAUCAUUUGUCUACUAAUUAUAGACCUGCAUGAAUGGCAAAAUGAGGGCUCAACUGUCUCUUAUAAUAAACCAAUUAAACUGAUCUCCUAGUAAAAAAGCUAGAAUAACACCAUAAGACCAGAAGACCCUGUGAAACUUAAACUAAACUAUUAAAACAAAUAAUAACUACUUUCGGUUGGGGCGACCUUGGAAAAAAAAAGAACUUCCAAACACACAUAAUACUACUGGCUGACAAGCCAUUAAAGACCCAGCAUAGCUGAUAACUGAACCRAGCUACUCCAGGGAUAACAGCGCUAUCUUCUUCAAGAGCCCAUAUCAAAAAGAAGGUUUACGACCUCGAUGUUGGAUCAGGACACCCAAA